rnacentral:rRNA from 1 species
AGUCACUGACAUUAGAUACCCGCGUAGUCCAGGGUGUAAACGCUGCAGACUUGGUGUUGGAAAUCCUCCGAGGGUAUUCAGUGCCGGAGAGAAGUUGUUAAGUCUGCUACUUGGGGAGUACGUCCGCAAGGAUGAAACUUAAAGGAAUUGGCGGGGGAGCACCGCAACGGGAGGAGCGUGCGGUUUAAUUGGAUUCAACACCGGAAAACUCACCAGGGGAGACUGUUACAUGAAACCCAGACUAAUGAUCUUGGUUGAUUUUCAG